rnacentral:misc_RNA from 1 species
GAUGAAGAACGCAGCAAAAUGCGAUAAGUAAUGUGAAUUGCAGAAUUCAGUGAAUCAUCGAAUCUUUGAACGCACAUUGCGCCCGCCAGUAUUCUGGCGGGCAUGCCUGUUCGAGCGUCAUUUCAACCCUCAAGCCCUCGGGUUUGGUGUUGGGGAUCGGCGAGCCUUUCUAGCAAGCCGGCCCCGAAAUCUAGUGGCGGUCUCGCUGCAGCCUCCAUUGCGUAGUAGUAAAACCCUCGCAACUGGAACGCGGCGCGGCCAAGCCGUUAAACCCCCAACUUCUGAAUGUUGACCUCGGAUCAGGUAGGAAUACCCGCUGAACUUAAGCAUAUCAAUAAGCGGAGGA